AUCCAGCUGACCACGAGUCCUAAAUAGGACAAAAUGCACAUCCUGGAU
rnacentral:hammerhead_ribozyme from 1 species